rnacentral:rRNA from 1 species
UACGUAGGGUGCAAGCGUUGCUCGGAAUUAUUGGGCGUAAAGCGCUCGUAGGCGGGACUGGAAGUCCGUGUUGAAAGACCUCGGCUCAACUGAGGGACCGGCUCGGAUACUCUAGUUCUUGAGGCAAUCAGAGGGUGAUGGAAUUCCCGGUGUGAGCGGUGAAAUGCGUAGAUAUCGGGAGGAACACCAGUGGCGAAGGCGAUCACCUGGGGUUGUUCUGACGCUGAGGAGCGAAAGCUAGGGGAGCAAACGGG